CCAUAGCCCUGAUAGAAGCGGUAUCCUUUUUAGGGCUUUUUUGCCCUAAAAAGAUAUAGCGGAUAGCAGGAAAUAGC
rnacentral:sRNA from 1 species